GGCAAUAGACUAUUUGCUGGUAAUUUAUCCCUUGAACUCAAAUGUUAGCGACGAUUUGAUAUUAACCGGGAAUUAGGACCUUUCACUGGCAAAUGAAGAAAAUGGCCUCUAUAAAAGUUAGUACUAAUUAUUGAAAGCAAUUUUUUCUAACUUUAUCUUCCCUCCAAUUUUUUUUAUUGUUCCCUCCCUCUCCUCAUUCCUUCCUUGUAAACCUAGAACAGACACCCAAAUUGAACUAUUUCCCAAUUUGAGAUAUUCAGCCAUCGGUGGCGGCAUCACCACAAUCGACAACCAUCACGAGGUAAUUCGACUUAUCUCUCUAUAUCACUAUCUCUCUCUGUCUGUCGAUCUUUCUCUAUCUCUCAUCCCUAUGUUUCGAUUUUUCUUGGUUGUUGAUGCUUGAUUUCUGUCUCAAUCUUGCCUCUCGUCAGUUUUCUCCAUCACCAACAUCAUUAUUGAGCCCUAGGUUUAGUUUUCUUUCUGUUCAUUUUUUUCCUAUUUUAUUUUUUCGCUAUUUUUUUUUAUUUUAGUAAAUAUUUUGUGCUUAUUGUUGUCUGGUUUAGAUUAUGUUCAAUUUAUUUGGUAAUUCCCAUAAUACAAGUACCAAUCUAGUGUGUAUAUAGUUGAAUGCUAUGUGAUUGAGAUGGAUUAUUUAGCAUUGUCACAGUGCCUUGAUUAUUUUAGUGGACUGAAGUUUGGAAUACUAUGCUAUUUAUUCAAAAGAAAGAUACUAUGUAUUAUAUUUCUAAUGAAAAUUUUGCCUUUUUGUUCCCUUCUACAGUGUACGUAAUGGCGUUCUUUUGUAGAUAAUAAUAUUGAGCAACCCAAAAACCUUCAAACUAGAAGACAAGAAACAUGUAUAAUAAGUGGGAGACUACUGGUUAUUGCCCAUUUGACAGGUAUAGCUUUAUGUUUUUGCUUAUUUUUGGUUUAUAUAGAUAUGAUUUCAAUGUUUACAAUGAGAAUGCGGAAGACUGAUGAUUUAUGGUUGAUUUUUGGCUUGCUAGAAUAUUCUUUUAUACCCAUUUUGAUCGAUCACUUGCAAGUAUUUGUUGAGAUAUUGUGGCAACAUGUGGUGAUUUCUUCAAAUUCCUGAUCUAAUUUUAAUUCUCUAUGAACUCUGUAUCUAGAACUCUUGCGAUUGCUGGUCGUUCCAUGCCCCGAACUAAAAGUUGUUUGCCUUAGAUUUACAGCUGAAAAUCUUUGCAGGUAUGAAGGAGUUAUUUUUCGCAACUUGUCACAUUUAAUUUUGGACAAUGAUUUUUGCGAAGUUCCUGAACUAAUUAAAGUUAAACUUGUGCAAUUUACCUUGUCUUUAUUUUUUGUUUGGAGUUAUUUGACAUCUUUUAUUUAUGAGCAAAAAGCUUUAGGCAUGGUGUACUUGUAUUAUGUUAAAUGUAUCUCUUGGAUUUAUCUUUGUCUGAUAAUUAACGAUUUCCCAUGUUUGAAAGAUACCAAUAAUUUUAAAGCAUUUGACAGUGCACACUUUUAAAUUCUUGUGCCGAUUGAGGUUUCUAAAGCUGCUUUCUGUCCUUUCCUCCCUGGACUAACUUCUGAUUACCCAAAAUAUGUACUCCCUCCGUUCGAAUUUAUGUGAACCUGUUUGGUUGGAUACGGAGUUUAAGAAAAAAUAAAGACUUUUGGAAUUUGUGGUCCUAAAUAAGUUAAAAAGGGGCCCAGAUAAUUUGUGUGGUUAUAAAAGCUUCUCAUUAAGGGUAGAAUUAUAAGUUUAAGCUAAAUUAUUUCCAAAUUUAGAAAGAGUUCAUUCUUUUUGGAACGGACCAAAAAGAAAAUAGAUUCGAAUAAAUUGAAACGAGGGAGUAAUUGCUUUCAGGGGUUUGAACGACUAAUUCAAUAAUUCGCCGAGGUAGUGUACCUAUGUUUCAAACACAAGAGUAUCUUAUUCUGUAACGGCCUCAUUGCCCAUGGUUGCCCUUUAUUUUCUCUCCUGGAUAUAUGCAGAAUGCUAACAAAAUAAUCUUACAAAAAAAGCUGAAAUUUAUUUUUUGCCAAUCUUUAGUAACUUGUGAUUGAAGAUGCAGUUUAGUGGUGCAACUGUAUUAAAAUCUCAUUAUUCUUUUCUCUUUUAUCUUCAUUCCUCCACUGCGGAGAAGCAAAACCAGGAAAUCAAUAAGGUAAAUGAUUCAAACGUGUACGUAUAUGGUCAUGCCACAAUUCUUACAAAGAAGGAAAGAAAGAAUUUCCCAUAAUAGUUGUCCACCUUUUGUUAUCUGUACGUAAUUACAGAACUUAAAUACUUUUAUCAAACAAAUUUUUGAAAAGUUGUGUACUUAUUUAGAUGGUUUGGAAAGAUAGUGAAAGUACAUCUAUAAGGACUCUUUAGGAUACAUAAGCACUCAUUAUAAUGUGAGUACUGACUAGACGAUUAAGUUAAAUUUCAUAAUUUUAACUCAAAAAUUCAAAUCACGGAUAUAUAAUAUUGGACAUAUAAAAGGCGUGUUUUCUAUGAGAACCACAUAAAUCUGAUUGACUAGAUACUCAGAGAGAAGUUCUUUAUUUUGUAAUGCAAUCUUUUAUUUGUUGUUUCUCUGAUUCUUUGCUUUCAAAAAACUAGAUAAAUAAUAUAAGAAAGAGAACAAAAUAUCAUGUUUGGUUUUUGUGAAAGAAUAUGAUUCACAUGACACAGAUUUUACUUAAUGCCUGCAGUAAUUUCAUCCCUAAUACCUGUUAACUAGUGCGUGUUCUACAUUGCAGUGAUGUUGUCUCUGUUUUUUAUGUGUUGUGUGAUUUCUGAUCAACCUCUUUGGUCUUCCAGGUCAAGGGUUGGUUCAGAUUAUUGAAGAAACUAACAUGGGUGGGAAAUCGACCUAUAUAUGCCAGGUAUGAGUCUUAUGAAGAUUCAUCUUUUUUUCUCCUUGGUAUAUUUUUAUUUCACUAGGUCAGUUUUAUAUAUCCCUAACAUAUGUCAUAUUAUAUGCAAUUGAUUGAGUAUCUAUAUUUUGUCACUACGCUUUCUGAUAUAUAUUUUUUACAUUCAAUUUUCAAUUAUUUUUUGAUCUGUAUGAACUAUUUUAAAAAAAUAAUAAGCAGUAUGCUUGUCGGAGUCAAUUGAAUAGAGCCGACAUACAAGUUAUAAGAGCAUUAGCACGAAAAAAUUCAUAGAAUAAAACAACUGAUUCAGAAAAAAAAAUCAUACGGUAAAAUAUUGUCUUCGACUGCCGCUGAUGCCUUGCUCCUUUAUUUGAGUUUGAAUGUUGAUUUGAUAAACAUGUCCUAUCCAAGGGAGCAUGUUCUGUCCAAGGGAUAUGAAUAAGAUAUUUCAUGUUCUUAUUCCUUUACUGGUGGAGUGGGUGGAUAAAUUUGGCGCUAUACCAAUUCAACUUAGUUACACCGUUAACUCAAGUUCUACCGUUAAGAGAAAAUUAUUCACUACUAGCCACAAUUUUGAUUUUAAAACCUGAGUAUAAAAAUCUGAAGCAACCUGUUUGAAAAAGUUGUGGAAGUUACAGGUGAAAAUUAAAGUUAAAUAUUUUUUUAUGGAAUUAUCUAGUGGUAGUUCUUCUAGUUCAAGGUUUUUCAGGAUAUAAGCUAGAUGAUACUAAUAUAAUUUGUAAUAUGUACAUAUCAAGAAACCUGCUGACCAUAUGUUCUUUAUACAUCCCUUUUUCAUACAUUUCCUGAAAUAUUCUACUAAAUGUUGUCUAACUCAAUAAUAGAAUUAUAUUCUAUACCUAGUCAUAUUUAUAUUCUCUUUGUUUUAUCAUUUCAGGUCAAGCACUAUCACAUUUGAUAAUUGGGCAUAUGGAAGAAAUCAUUCUGAUCAAGAGUUGGAAAUUUUUUUGUAUGAUGUUUACUGUAGUAUUAUAGCUAUUUUGUAACAAUAGUUAUUAGAUGCAAAAUUAUACUAGCUAUUGGAUUCAAAUAGUUUACUUUUUUCGUAAAAAUUGCACGAGGCGCCCUAUUUGGUCGCCUCCAUUUAACCUAUUCCCAUUUUUUAAAAUUUUUUAAAUUGUACCCACUUUUUAAACAAUUUCAUCCCCCUCUCCUCCUUCUCCUCCUUCGUUUUCUUCUUCUUCUUUCUUCUGUUGUUGUUGGUGCUGCUAUGAAACUUCAGUUUAUAGGAUGAUUGUCAUAAAUAUGUUUAUCAGAUUAUUUA
rnacentral:lncRNA from 1 species